CAGUAGCUCAGUCGGAUAGAGCAACGGCCUUCUAAGCCGUGGGUCGGGGGUUCGAAUCCCUCCUGG
rnacentral:tRNA from 1 species